rnacentral:rRNA from 1 species
UACGUAGGGUGCAAGCGUUAAUCGGAAUUACUGGGCGUAAAGCGUGCGCAGGCGGUGAUGUAAGACAGGUGUGAAAUCCCCGGGCUUAACCUGGGAACUGCAUUUGUGACUGCAUUGCUGGAGUGCGGCAGAGGGGGAUGGAAUUCCGCGUGUAGCAGUGAAAUGCGUAGAUAUGCGGAGGAGCACCGAUGGCGAAGGCAAUCCCCUGGGCCUGCACUGACGCUCAUGCACGAAAGCGUGGGGAGCAAACAGG